UAUGUUUGUGCACUUUAAAUCGCAGUCCUCUGCAGCUGCGUGCGAGCCCCAUGCCACUUGACAUGCCGUGACUCUCUGUGCGUACGAUUGGGUGCACGCAUGCAUUUCUGCACACAACUUGCCCCAUUGCAGCUCCGCUUACGCUACUGUGAUUGUGUGUGUGUGUGUGUGUAGAGGGGAAGAGAGGAGAGAGAGAAGGCACUCGCACUAUUACAAUCAUAGGAAGUACCGGCAGCAGUUGCAAAGUGUGAAAGCAAACUCUGCCACCUCUUGGAUCGCUCCGAGUGGACAGACCACCUCCCAUAAUGCCAUCUUUCGAUGAGGUUUUAAAAGAAGCUGGAGAAUUUGGAAGAUUCCAAAAGAGGGUCUUUUUCCUCCUUUGCCAGACAGGCAUAACUUUUUCCUUCCUAUUUGCCAGUGUGGUUUUUCUUGGGCUGGCACCGGAGAAUUAUUGGUGCAGGAUCCCUGGGGCAGCUGAACUGAGCGAAAGAUGUGGCUGGACACUCGAAGAGGAACGCAACUUUACGGUGCUGCCCCUGCGGCUGGCGAACGAGUCGUCGAGCAGGGAGUGCGAGAGGCUGGACAUGGCAUGGGACACCUCCACCAGCUGCGCCAACCCCCUCUCCCUCUACGGCAACCGCAGCGCUGGCAGCCUGCCGCUUACUGCAUGCCACGAUAACUGGGUUUACGAGGAGCCCCACUCGUCCGUUGUCAGUGAGUAUAACCUUGUGUGCGGCAAUGCCUGGAUGCUAGAUCUAACGCAGGCUAUCCUCAAUCUGGGAUUUCUGGCUGGUGCAUUCACUCUAGGCUACGCUGCAGACAGAUACGGCAGAAUCCUUAUUUAUCUUCUUUCCUGCCUUGGAGUUGGGAUAUGUGGUAUCAUAGUUGCAUUUGCACCAAACUUUACUGUAUUUUUGAUCUUCCGUUUUCUCCAAGGUGUGUUUGGCAAGGGAACCUGGAUGACAUGCUAUGUGAUCGUGACGGAGAUCGUUGGUUCUGACCAGCGGAUCCUUGGGAUCGUGAUACAGAUAUUCUUCACCCUGGGAAUUAUGAUUCUCCCUGGAAUUUCAUACUGGGUUCCCAACUGGCAGGGUAUCCAGCUGGCCAUUUCACUGCCCAACUUCCUUUUCCUGCUCUACUACUGGGCAGUUCCUGAAUCUCCACGCUGGCUCCUGACACGCAGAAAGAGAGAGAAGGCACUAAAAAUUAUGCGCGACAUUGCAAAACACAACGGGAAAUAUCUCUCACCACAUUACUCAGAGAUCACUGUUAGUAAUGAAGAGGUCAGCAAUCCCUCAUUUCUUGAUCUGGUUAGAACUACCCAGAUGAGAAGAAACACGCUGAUUCUGAUGUACGCCUGGUUCACAAGUGCCCUGAUCUACCAAGGGCUUGUCAUGCGUCUAGGAAUUGUUGGAGGAAACCUCUACCUAGACUUCUUCAUCUCAGGAGCUGUAGAACUGCCCGCAGCUCUCCUAAUUUUAGUGACAAUUGAUCGCAUUGGUCGGCGCCUACCCUUCGCAAUAAGCAAUAUCGUGGCAGGAAUUGCAUGCCUCAUUACUGCCUUCUUGCCAGACGGUAAUUCCUUUCCUUUCUGUUUGCUUCCCAGCAGUAGGCUCUUUAGGUUGAUGACUUCUCUGUAACACCUCUUGAGUAGGAGGCCACACAGAGCUGUAGAUAAAAGUAAAAAGGGGCCUGUAAUGCAAGUAACACCACAGUUAUGGGACAAUACAUAUUAUUUGCUCAUGGGUUACCCUGGAACAUAUAAUGGCCAUAUCUUUGAUGGGUAGUGAGCAACAGAUGGAUGUGGUUUUAAGAGAGAUGUGUAUAAAGGCUCUGCCCUGUUUUUGAAUGCAGAAGCAGGGGAAAGAGAUGCAAAUAUAAGGGGAAAACAUAUUCCCCUACUUGGAAGAUACUUACGGUGUAAGAAAUCAAUGAAAUAGAUGUGACAACAUGGUUGUCUUCUCAUUUCCAGAUAAAUCAAUGUGUAGAAGAAAAAUACACAGCCUAACCUCUAAAUACCUUCAUCCAGAUUCAUGGCUUUCCUGGCAUUAUCAGGCUAUUUCAGCAGCCCAAAGGUGCCACGCUGUAAUGUGCUCUGCCCACUUUUCAGUUUGAUUCCCCAUUUCCUCCCAGUCCACAACCACUAUAUGGUAUGGGGGGCUGUGGCAGGCAACCUGGAGAUGGUUGCCCUGCCUUCACCCUCCCAGGAAUUUGGGCAAUGCUAAGGGGAUAAAGUAAAGGUUUAGCUUUCAGUUAAAUCAUUGUUAUCUGGCUUCAAAAACAACUAAAGGGUCUGAUACUGCAUUCAGACUUUCCAGCACUCCUUUCUUUUCUUCAAAUUGUUUUCCCUCUUGUGUAGCUAUUUAACUAUACCAUGAAGUGCAUAUUCUCAGGGAAGCAUUUAGAGGUGCUCUACACAGAGCAUUACCACAUCAGCAUGCUUUGCCUCAGAACAGCUAGGAACUGGCAACUGAAUUGGCAUUAGAGAGGCUUAUUCCUCCCCAGGGUUGUUCCCAUCAAAGUGAAGCGACAGUCCUGGCUGGCCUUAGAGGUUCUGAUUCCAGAAAUUAUAUCAGAAGGUAAUAGUUUUCCUAGAGAAAAGCCAUGAAAACCCACUUCAAGAGUACUGACCCAUGAAAACAGGCAGGUUUGCUCUGAGUGCACACUGAAAUCUUUCAAAGAGGUAUGUUGAUUCAUUCGCUUUAAAGGGAUUCCUCCAAAAGUAUGUGAAGUUAAUACUGUAUAUUUGAGGAGCUCCAUUGCUUCAACGGAAGCAGAAACAAUGUGACAGAGAAAUGGGAUGGGUAGGCUGAGAGUCUGGGCCUGGGCCUGGUGCUGGUGGCUAUGUGACUUUGCCCUGGGAUAUUGUAUUGUAGUCACUUGUUUAAGUUCAUCAGUUUGACAGCUGAAGUCCAUGGAGAUUUGACCUGCUGUCCUGAAGUAUUCUCCUUGUGACCUCCCAGGUCCCUGCUGCUUUGAGCCUCUCCAAAGAGCCCCAUGCACCAUGAGUGGAUGCCAGCAGCACGCUGCUGCUGGUGGCAGCCCCCCACUCGACUUUGCCAGCACCAUUUUCAACCUAUGAAAGCAAUACCAAGGAUGCACUGGGACAACAAGGACUGAGGAUUGUUGAUUGUCCAGAGCAGAAGGAGAAAACAAAGAAUGACACUGGGGAAUUAUUCCUUCAGGGCAUUUGCCUGAAGCAGCUACAUUUUUGGGGCAGAACCAUUUUGCUGAGCACCGUGCAGCAGCUCUGAGGUUAGAGCAGGAGCAUCUUGUGGGGCUGGUAUGACCUGAGGGAGAGGCUGAAGGGGUAACCUAUGGCCAGCUGGGUGCUGCCAUCAGCAUACCCUCAAUAGUCACAGAGCGGUGCUGAUGGGACUCUGCUCCCCGGUAAUGUUAAUCAGGCUGAAAACAGGACAGCCUGGGGUUUAGGUUACUUGCAUAUGGGAUAUUUGAGGUCCAAAUCCUGCUUUCAAGAAAUGUCUGUUUAUACAGAUGGGAAGAACAGCAGCAGCAGCAGCUUGCCAGAGUUGUCACAUUGUGGUGCUCACACAGUUCAGGUCCUCCUGGCAGAGGUAGGAGUACGUCAUCCUCACCUCAGGGGCCUUAUUGACUGAAGGGGGGCUAUGGUAACAACGUGGAUUUAUUUUGUUCUUUCUAGCCUUUGCAUUUCUUACAAGUGUUUGAAAAAUAGACCUUUUCAGGGCAAAGACAAUGUCUCACAACAUGGGAUGAAAUUUGUUGAGGGAUUUGUUUGAUUGUUUUGGAAGGGAACGAAAAUCCAAGCAUCUCAUUUCUGGUUCAGAGCAAACUGAAAUGCUUUCUUGUUCUUCUUGUUUAAGUGAAAACACAAUCACUGCCAGAGCUCUCUGCCUGCUGGUGGCAGACCCCCCACACACUUCGCACCAUGUUCAGGCUUGCAGUUUCUCUAGGCUCCCAGUCUGCCUUGCCAGGCAGCUCUUGGUUACCUUGAAAAAUCUUCAUGGUUAGACCAUAUGGGAGACCAUCUUCUUCCAAGAGCACUGCUGAAGUACUUGCUACUUUCCUUGCGACUCUUCUCCACAGGCCGCUGGCUCUCCAGAGAGGGCUGUCAGACUGCUGAAGGGUUGCCCUCAGUGACAUGGCAUACCUCUGCCUGACAGGGCAGAUAUGACCUUCGUGCCCCAUGCACCUUGUUCCCCACUGGUGAGAGUGACAAAGGGCAGUGUAAGGCCUGUAGGCACAUUGCAUCAAGUAUGGCAUCAGGAUCUGGGGAAGGGAAGUGGGAGGAUGGCCAGAAGCAACAUCAUUAGGAGCAUGUAUAAUGUGCAGUGGCUAAAAAAUUGCACAGUGCCUGGUCUAAGGAGUUUCCUGUAGCUGCAGAUGCAUCUUUAAAAGUAGCUUCUUUGUGGUCAGACGCUUUGGAAGGUAGUUCAACUGCAUUUCUUGGAGUGUAACAUCCCUGUGUAAAUAAAUCCUCCUUUCUGGGACACAAUUUGAACAUGGUCAGGGAAGCAUAUGGCAUUCAUUCUCCCACUCAUGGCAUUAUGCCCUGCCAGUGUCUUGAAUCAAUCAGCUGGACAUCAUUUUUGCUUCUCCAAAGCAGCCUUGCAUGACGUUAGAAAGCAAUAGAUGACAGUAUAGAUAAACAUCUACAGCAUGGCCCUUCAGUCUGGCUUGACCAACCCAGAAUUUCUGUGACAUAGCUUUUGCUGACUAGACCUGGAACUUAUUCUCUUAGAAGCAGAAAAAUAGAAAUUGUGUGGUUGGAUGAGACCUGAAGUCCAUCUAGUUCUGUAACCAGCUUUUGACAAGGAGGGUAUAUACUCGUGGGUCCACUCGUGUGGGCAGGUAGAGACACUGUGCUCUCAUUCCUUCUCCCACUUUUUCCCCCAAACAUAUCAGGGGCUUGCUGCUAAAAAGUUACAGACUGAUUUAAGACAAGGGUUUGGAGAACCUCUUUGUUAAUCGCUAGCUGUGUGGUUUCUUCUUCCGAGUUGGUGAGGUCUUGUUGUCAGUGAUUUCAAGUGGUAGUAAUUCUUCUGUCUGUGAAGAGGAACGAAAAGUACUUCCACUGACUAGUUUUGAAUUUAAGACACCUAGAACUAGCCAUUGUAGCCUGAGACUGCUCAAUGAAUCCUAGGAGAUCAGACUCCUCUGGAGAAUCCUUUGGAGUCCAGUGCUGCUGAAGCAAUAGUUCAGUUGUGCCAAACCAGAUGUCUGGUGCUCACGCUGUGACUUUAGUACUUCUUUCCUUUUCAAAUAUAGAAGCAGCUUUUUCUGCUUUUCUCAUCAUCACUUGUGUUUUACUGUGUUCUGGUACUGGAAGAGGCUUUCUUUAUGCCUAUAUAUCAGAAAAACUCUGCUGCAGUCUGUGGAGUUAUUGGUAUAAAAUCCAUGUAAGUGAGAACCAGGCCUGAAGCGUAUGGCUGAUACAGGAAAGCACACUUCACCAGGGUUUCUUUUUGAAUGAACAGAUCUCCCAUGGUUCAAAACCACAGUAGCCACACUGGGAAGACUGGGCAUCACAAUGGCUUUUGAAAUUGUGUAUCUUGUGAACACUGAAUUGUACCCUACAACGCUGAGAAACUUUGGUGUUUCCCUGUGCUCAAGUUUGUGCGAUCUAG